GACGAACGCUGGCGGCGUGCUUAACACAUGCAAGUCGAACGGAAAGGCCCUGCUUUUGUGGGGUGCUCGAGUGGCGAACGGGUGAGUAACACGUGAGUAACCUGCCCUUGACUUUGGGAUAACUUCAGGAAACUGGGGCUAAUACCGGAUAGGAGCUCCUGCUGCAUGGUGGGGGUUGGAAAGUUUCGGCGGUUGGGGAUGGACUCGCGGCUUAUCAGCUUGUUGGUGGGGUAGUGGCUUACCAAGGCUUUGACGGGUAGCCGGCCUGAGAGGGUGACCGGCCACAUUGGGACUGAGAUACGGCCCAGACUCCUACGGGAGGCAGCAGUGGGGAAUAUAGCACAAUGGCGGAAGCCUGAUGCAGCAACGCCGCGUGCGGGAUGACGGCCUUCGGGUUGUAAACCGCUUUCGCCUGUGACGAAGCGUGAGUGACGGUAAUGGGUAAAGAAGCACCGGCUAACUACGUG
rnacentral:rRNA from 1 species